CUCAAUCAUCUCUCCAAUCUCUCAUUAAAUCUUUUCUCACAAGACUCUAAAAAAAACACAGAAAAAUUGAAAGAGGCGACUGUUCCUCUUCUUCUUCACGCCGGGGGAUCCACGCCGGAAAACACCAACCCUCAAACCGCCGACUAUUCUCCUUCCAUUUCCUCCUUCAACCGCGCACCACCGUGCACGAACCUCCAUACAAAUCUGGCGACCACCGCUACCCCAGUCACUACCGCCACCGACAUCACGCGAUACAACCCACCACGCCUCCGUCGAACCAGAACAACACGCACUCACCACCGCCGCGACGCCAUCUUCACCGGUGUAACCCCGAUUUCGCCGGAACCACCCUCCGCAACUACUUUAACAAUACGGUAUUUAUAAUCUCUAGAUUCCAAGUGUUAUCAUGUUUCAGUCACUGUGUUUAACUUCAAUGCGACUCCGGUUUUGUCAUGAAUUUGUAUUCAUAGUUGCUUCAAUUUGUUUUGUUUCAUCAAGUUUCAGUAUGCCUUUUUAAGACAUUUAUGGUAAGAUUAAAUUUUCUUUGGGUCUUGAGUUUUCAUUGAGCUUAAAACGUAUGUUUUAGCAUACUGUGAUUGAGUGAAUGUUAGUUGAACAAAACAAAUACCAUAUCCUGUCAGUAAGAGUGCUUUACUAU
rnacentral:lncRNA from 1 species